rnacentral:pre_miRNA from 1 species
GACAGUCAGUAGUUGGUCUGGGGUAAGCAGGAAAUCUCAGAUCAUCUCUUGACUGUGGA